rnacentral:lncRNA from 1 species
CGUAUCCUGUCCCAUGACGCAAGCCACCUUCGCGGCUACGCGACCCUCGACGCCCAUGACGCACCGCACGCUGGAACCGAAAGCUCCGGCGCCACGUGGACGGCCACCACGCGACCCCGCACGCCUUGUGAUCGUGCCACCCACUUCCCCUAUUUUUCUUAUUUUCCACACCGAAACAAAAAAAACCAAAACAAAACAAAGAGAAAAUAAACCCCCAAGUGCUCUCACAGUGUUGUUAUAGAUCUCUCCACGAUCUUCCCAUUCCGUACAGUCGCCGGCGCGUUUCACGGUGAUUCUAACGCCGGAAAGUUCAUCGGUUCCUGCUCACAGAUCUCCCCGCGAUCGCCGCCC